rnacentral:misc_RNA from 1 species
UCGAGAAGGGGCCGCCCCCGCGCGGCGCCCAACCUCCUAACCCUUUGUUUGACCCAACCACGUUGCCUCGGGGGCCGACCCGGUCGCCCCCGGUGGACCAACCUCAAACGCUGCAUCUGUGCGUCGGAGUAUUGAAGCAAAUCGUUUA